rnacentral:lncRNA from 1 species
AAAAGGAGAGAAAAGAUUCAGGGCUCCUUCUCACCAUUAUUAUUAAUAUUCAAAUUAAUUAACUGUGCUGAGGGCUGGAGGAAAUUGAAUGUCGAGAACAACCUAAGCUCUGCUUUAGAUUUUAAGCCAUUUGGGGCUUUGAUGUAAAGCUUGUGCUUUUAUUAUUAUUAUUUUUAAAUCUCUUGAUUUUUUUUUUUAUAACGCAAACACCUGGCCUGCUUUAGAGGCGAUAUAACAGUAAUAAAUGAUCCUUAUUAAUUGGCCGUUGGCUGAUGGGGAGCAGCAGGCUCCCAGCAAAACAGGGCACAUUCAUGGGAGUUAUGGGGCCAAGUUUGGGGAGGGGAUAACGGGGCUGUGCUCCCCCAGCAUCCCAGUGUGGGGCUCCCAGCCAGGUAGGGAGCUUUGGUGAGGUUAAAUAAUAAAAAAAAAAAAGAAGCUUUAACGAGGCAGAGCUUAAAUACACGCGCUCCCUCUUUACCCAUUUAUUAAGUAAUAAUGAAACACUUUUGUCAAAGCUUAGGCACCAAAUUUCUGACACCAGAUGAGCUCUAAAGCUAAUCAGGGGCUGGAAAAAUGGGAAUAUAAUUAAGGCUGCUGACAGCCCUGUGUCAUUAACCUCACAGCUCUCAGGUGCCAUGCUGAACCACAGCUGCAAAAAAUACUGCAUUACGGGCAGUUGGUUUCAGCUGUGGAAAUGAAUUUGGCUUUUAAUGGCUCUGUAAUGUCUCUAGGGCUGAGGUGGUGGUAGGAGGAGGGUGGUGGUCUGUGCUGGGUCAGCUUGGCUGGAGCCUGUGCUGUUCAGUGUGCCCAGGGUUCCUGCUUGUAUCCAGUGUCUUCUGAUGUGAGGCUGGUACCUGUGCCACCUGCCUGCACUGUGACUUGGCUUCCCACCCUACAGAAUGGGAGCCUUCUCAGUUUCUCGGGUGCAAAACUCAAGCUUUGGACAACAGCAGGAGCAGUCAGUUAUGUUCUCACUCUGUUUGCUUUGGAAGUCCUGCAGUGUGCUGGUGUGAACACAGCCAUAGGAGUGGGGCAGUUCAGGAUAAAUCAAAAACAAAAGUGCCAUUAUCCAUAUGGGACCUCACGAGUGCAUCACAUCCCCCAGCAAUUCUGA